UAAGUACUCUUUUCGUCCGAAAUUUUUUGUCUUAGAUUUGUCUAGAUAUGAAUGUAUCUAGUCAUGUUUUAGCAUUUAGAUACAUUUAUUUCAAGACAAAUCUAAGACAAAAUUUUUGGAACGGAGGGAGUACUCG
rfam:Hordeum vulgare subsp. vulgare, WGS project CAJW01000000 data, contig: morex_contig_160086